UACUUGAGUAUUUCCACCUAUUCACCCUGCACAGUUUUAAUCAGUUGCACGCACCUUCACCAUCAUCCCCUCCUUCCCCCUGACAGACGUCACACACGCCCACCAAUCGCCUGUUGUGUUUAUCCUGCAGCUUUUAUAAACCGGGACAGCCGGAGACAGAAGCUGCAGACUGCAUCAGUUUCUCAUGCUUUCUCCCACUUUUAAACUUCUGCACUAGAGCAUAGUAUUUUACUUCAGUUCAACUUAAAGUUCCAUCACCCAGUUUCUUCUUGAGUUUCUUUCGCGCUGGUCCAUGAUGCGUCUCCAGUUCGUCCUGUGCGUAAUGAGCCUGCUCGCCUCCUCUUGUCUGGUCACCGAGGCGCGGAUAGCCAAACGCUUCGCCAUCGGCUGUCCGGAGAAGUGCGACAAGUCUCAGUGCGCGCCGAUACCUGCUGACUGCCUGGCCGGUGACGUGCUGGACCGCUGCGACUGCUGCCCGGUGUGCGCGUCCGGCGAGGGCGAGCAGUGCGGCGGCACCGGAGACCGCGAGUGCGCCGAAGGGAUGGAGUGCGUGGUGAGCGAAGGCGUGGAGGUGUCCGCAACGGUCAGGCGGAGGGGCAAAGCCGGCGUGUGCGUGUGCAAGAGCACCGAGCCAGUGUGCGGCAGCGACGGCGUCUCCUACCGGAACAUCUGCGAGCUGAAGCGCGUCAGCAACCGCGCCAUGAAGCUGCAGCAGCCGCCGGUGAUUUUCAUCCAGAGAGGAGCCUGCGGGAAAGGUCAGCAGAACCCAAACAGUCUUCGUUACAAGUACAACUUCAUCGCUGACGUGGUGGAGAAGAUUGCACCUGCUGUCGUUCAUAUUGAACUUUACCGCAAGAUGAUAUUUUCUAAGCGGGAGGUGGCAGUCGCCAGCGGCUCUGGGUUCGUUGUGUCAGAGGACGGACUCAUUGUCACCAACGCUCACGUGGUGGCGAAUAAGCAUCGAGUAAAGGUGGAGCUGAAGAGCGGAGCCACAUUCGACGCCAAGAUCAAAGACGUGGACGAGAAGGCCGACAUCGCUCUGAUCAAGAUCGACACACCGAUGAAGCUGCCGGUGCUGCUGCUCGGCCGGUCGGCGGACCUGCGGCCUGGCGAGUUCGUGGUCGCCAUCGGCAGCCCGUUCUCCCUGCAGAACACCGUCACCACCGGCAUCGUCAGCACCACCCAGAGAGGAGGCAAAGAGCUGGGUCUCCGAAACUCCGACAUGGACUACAUCCAGACCGACGCUAUCAUCAACUACGGCAACUCAGGAGGACCACUAGUCAAUCUGGAUGGGGAAGUGAUCGGCAUCAACACCCUGAAGGUCACAGCAGGAAUCUCCUUCGCCAUCCCCUCAGACAAGAUCAGACAGUUCCUGGCAGAGUCACACGACAGACAAGCCAAAGGUAAAGCAUACUCGAAGAAGAAGUACAUCGGCGUCAGAAUGAUGACUCUCACUCCAACGCUGGCUAAGGAGCUGAAGGAGAGGCAGUCAGACUUCCCAGAUGUCACUUCGGGGGCGUACGUCAUCGAGGUCAUCAACCGGACUCCAGCUGAGUCAGCUGGCCUGAAGGAGAGCGAUGUCAUCAUCAGCAUCAACGGAGAGCGAGUUACCUCGGCCAGCGACGUCAGCUCCGCCAUCAAGCGGGACGAGACGUUGCGAACGGUGGUGAGGCGAGGCAACGAGGACGUCAUCCUCACCAUCACCCCCGAGGAGAUUGACCCUUGACCUCUCAGCUGACUGAGCAAACUGUCAACUCAACAACAUAACCAGUCAACCAAUCCCGAGCUGGCUCUCAAGUGUUUUUCAACCAAUCAUGAACGCUUUUGAAAAACCAAGCAACCAAUAGGGGUGCGUGUGUGUCUGGGGCCACACCUACUGCGUUUAAGAACUUGUAAUUAUUAGUACUACUUCUACUCUUCCAUGAUAUUAUGCUCACACACACCUUCAAAGUCCAACUUCGUUACCCUGGGAACUGAAGCUUCAACCCUGUCAUCACACUUCUAGUAGUUUUAGUUUUUCUUCUAGUCCCCAUUAACUUUCCAUCAUCACAGAUGUUUUAUAUUCUACUAAUGCCAUCUGUCCCUACAAAGCGGUUACUUAAGGUUACCAUAGUUCUGUUUCAUUGUUUAUGUCCUUGAUGGAAUAUUUUUUUAAUUGUAUUUUUGUCUCUAUGAGUUUGAUGACAAUUUUUCAAAAAAGGGAAUAAAAUUAUUUUUAAAAGUGUUGUUUUUAUUUAACGUGUUGAUGUAAUAACUGGUGGUUUGAGCUCAAACAGCCAAAAGGAACUAACAAUAAGCACACGGUUGUACUAGUUGCACUGUUACAUGAGGUAAAGUAGUAGUGAAAAAGAAUAAAACACAACUGCUGAUGGAAAAUGGGUAAAACUCUCUACAACAAAGACAAAAACAGUUAAGUUUGAUAAACAACCAGCUGUAUUUCUUAAUUCUUUCAGCUCUGUUUAGUUUGGAUCGAUUGGAUUGGAGCAAAAUGUACAAAUGUUCAAAUGAUGAGAAACAAACCAAACACUUGUAGCAUCUCCCUCCAAAAUAUGACAUUCAUUAUGAAUAUUCAUGCAAAGAAGACAUCAAAUUUAUCAGAUUUUGAAAACCACAUUUUAGGAUCCUUUCAGUAUUACUUUACAAUUCAACUAUCAUAGUUAUACCAACAAAAUUUUCUGUUAAAUUCUUUAAUGUGUGGAUCUGUCGCCCAGCAAGAAAUAUCAGAUAUUAAAGAGGACAAACAAAAAAAUACAACAAAUGUUUUGUUUUUAAAAAACAUUGGCAAACCCAUAGUUAGUGCGGUCUGUAAGAUAAUAUAUUGGCUUGCAUAUUGUCAUUAGCUCAGUAGCAGAAGUGCUUGCUUGGCUACCCAUGUCAGUCAUGUGAUCUUCUCCUUGCAGGUCAUUGUUGUCCGUCAAGAGUUUCCCGCAAGUGCUAGCUUAAAAUAUUUGACACAACUGUUCUUUUCCAUUUCCAUAGUAACAUUUUUUGAUUGUUUUGUCAAAUGCAAGAAAGAACUUCCAGUGUCAACUUUUACACCAGCAUGGUCGAAAAGUCCUUGGCCAACUCCCAUCUGCUGAGGAAGAUGGCGUGAUAUGAUUGAAAGCUCCAGAACAGACAAUGAGUGGACGUUCUAGUGGGAUUAACAAUUAUUUUUACCCUUGAAUUAAUCUGUUCCCUUAAAUCAUUACUUUGUGUCCCCAAACUUUUGCUCUAAUAAGUAUCAUUAGUUUUUGAAGUUGAGGAGUUUAGAUUUUAAAGAUUUAGAUUUAGAGGGUCGAGCUGGUUCAUUAUUUAAACAUGAAUUGCAGCUUUACAUCACUAAAUACCUCCCUGAAUGCAGACAGAUUGAC